rnacentral:rRNA from 1 species
CAGUAGCCGCGGUAAUACGUAGGUGGCAAGCGUUGUCCGGAAUUAUUGGGCGUAAAGGGCUCGCAGGCGGUUUCUUAAGUCUGAUGUGAAAGCCCCCGGCUCAACCGGGGAGGGUCACCGGAAACUGGGAAACUUGAGUGCAGAAGAGGAGAGUGGAAUUCCAUGUGUAGCGGUGAAAUGCGUAGAUAUAUGGAGGAACACCAGUGGCGAAGGCGACUCUCUGGUCUGUAACUGACGCUGAGGCGCGAAAGCGUGGGGAGCAAACAGGAUUAGAUACCCCUGUAGUCCCUGUCUCUUAUAC